rnacentral:misc_RNA from 1 species
GAUGUGAUAGUGACCAAAGUACAAAACUAAGAAGUACAACCCUCACCUAGUAGUACAAUCUCAGACCCAUACUGCUAUCCUAAAGAUUCUCCAUUUGUGUCCCCAUGGGUGUAAAAGGGACACCCUUAGGUCUAGCAACUCUAUAUCCCACAAAAACAGAAAGGCAUAAAGACACUACUGAAAAUAGAAGGGCGAAGGCACUGCCAACAUCUCCUGAGCUGGCUGGUGAUGAAGCGGUUAGCAUUGAACUGCCAGGAGAGAUAUCUAAGGGUAUCCAAUCACAGUUCACAGAAUAGUGACCAGAACCAUACCAGGGAUUCCCAUCGACUGGAUACCAGAAUGCAACAGACAUCUUGCUAGAUCCACUAAUUGUAAACUGAGCAUCCUGCUGGAGACGAUCCAUGGUUCUUAAUGGCCUAGAGAAUUCAAAAAAAUAAGUGCC